rnacentral:lncRNA from 1 species
CCAUCGUUCGUGGCUGCAGCGCCGACGUUCGUGGCCGCACCUCUAAGGAAGGUUCCCGUGCACCACUCUCUCUACCCAAUCGGCGAGAUAUCGGCGAGACACGGCCCCAUUCAGCAGGCUUACUCCCAGCAGGUUCCAGUGCUUCGAAAGCCAUCGUUCCGGCGCGUGGCCGCGCGACCGGCCUCUGUCGUGCCCGUCCUGACUCCAGUGGUAGCCUCCCAGGCAGCGUCCCCAGUCGCCGUCGAGUACGGAGGCAACCGCGGCACUGUCGCAAGAAGUGCCUCUGCCGUGCCCGUCCUGACUCCCGUGGUGGUCUCGCAGGGAUCGUCCCCAGGUGCUGUCGAGUACGGAGGCAGCCGCGGCAUCGCCGCGAGAAGUGCGAGCGAUGGCAGUGCCAGAACAAGUGGCUCCCGUACCGUCAAGAAGGUGCGCCGCCGCAAGCCCGCCGAGUUCUUCAAGAAGUCCAUCAUCAACAAGCAGCGUCCCAAGAGUCAAGGACCUCGCGUUCGCGUCGUUCAGGCUACCAAGGACGGAGGCUACAGAACCAUUGAACUGCCCGUUUACAAGGACUAAGCGCGCUGGCCCUCCUAACUUAUUCUCCCGUGCGUUUCAAAGGCCACCGAUACGGAUGUAGACUGUUGGGUCUCAGUAGUUUGGUUGGUACGUGAGCUAAACCACCUGUACGGGGGUGUAUGAUAACGCCCGCUCUGUAGCAGCAGCGUGACAGAUGUCACACCUACUGAGCUGAACCCAGUUACACGGGCAGGCAAAGGUAUCGGAGCAAGACUAAGAGAAUGAGGUAGACUAAGUAACUGCCAACAACUUUGCGUGACACUUACUAUAGGCUGUUAAAAGUUGAAGCAGUGAACCUGUUGACAUGACGUGUGCCAUCCCUCCGGUGAAACAUGGUUUUAACGAACACGUCGCAGUUAGAGGGUUAGUGUUCGGGCUUCUGGUAUCCAUGCACUAUUUCAGGCAAGGCUGUUGUCAGAUUUUCAGUUAAGGAAGUCUUUCCCAUACAUGUGGCCCGCUGUUACAUCUGUGCGAAACAAAGAAAUGCGUGGAAACGGUGCUGAUAGUGAGCAGUCUAUGCCAAAUCGAGGGAACUAUACGUCUGCGUAUUCAACCUCUCUCAUGAAGUUCAGUUCUGAAAGAUAAAUAUGAUUAGUUGUUUAGAAAAACACUUAUAAGUGUUUGAAAAACAGUGGUACACUUUUCUUGAAUCUAUAACUGUGACAUCGGUAAUGACAUGUUCUUAUUACCUGGUUGUUAGUCGGUAAGAUAUCGGUAAGAUGUAGGUUAUAUUUCACGCGACGUUUCAGCCUGCUGGCUGUACAGUGGUGGUUCUGGCAGGCUUGUUUCUGUGUAGCGUUAUUGUUUAGUUCUUACCUGUUCCACGAACAUUACCUGUGCGAAAAUACCGCUUUUAUACUGUAUUACGUGAGCCUUGACAACCUUUCUCUUUGACUUUUCUUUGGUGCACGCAUGUACAAAGCCAGCUAUAUUCAAGGCUGAUUCUGUAUGUGUAUAUACACUAGCACGUUGUGUGUUCAAUAGUUUCAUAUCAAACAUAUUCGUCCAAGUUUUGUAUGUGAGGUUCUUUAUUUUCCCAAAUCCUAUUCUGUCUCAGACGAAUCCUAUUCUGUUAUCUUUCCAGUAAGGAUGGCUUCGUUGUAUAGCGCUAAACUGAAGAAACAGAAGGAGGCUUUUGAUCGUGUACACAUUUUUAUCACGAUGAACACAAAAGCUUCAUUGCGAAGUUAUCCGAUACCGAUGUAAAUUCAAACGCGAAUACGUAAAAGCAUCUGCGUUAUCAAUGGCGAUAUCAAUCUGCAUAAUACAUUAACAAUGAAAAUUGCUAUUCUCGCUACUGCUAUUGUUCUUUUGCAGUAUUAUCAGAUUACACAAUACUUGAAUUCUAAAACACCCAAUGGAAAAAAAAUGAAAAGAAAGCAACCUGCAACCGACUAAGAAGACAUUUCUAAUUAGACAUUGAAAUUAGCCACAAUAGCUGCCUGAUCGCUCCUUACCUGUUCUCAUUUUGAUAUAUCUCGAUAUGGGCUGAUGAUUAGACAUAUGUACAGGUAUCUAGAUGUGCACGAAACUCACGUCUCGGUUCGCACUCUAGGAGUCGCGCUGUGUGUUGUGGCGCCGGUAAACACUAUAUGCAGACAACACCUAGUGCCUGAAACAACCCUGGUAUACCAGUGCAAUUUAUUUCAAGCUUACAUUGACAAAAGCUUCAAGCUAUAUAUCUUGAAAUUAAUAUUUUGUUUGCAUGAAUAACUUCUGUACUAACUAGGGAAUGUAUCCCCCUAUUUUCUACCUUAUGUACUUCUUUUAGAAUUUCUCUUUACUUGAUUUCCCUUUUUUAUUUCUCAAUGCUUACUAGGAUCAUUGGCGUGGUGUGUUAUUCGAAGUGUUCGAUUUCGCACAUUGUUGUUAGAGUACAACCUGUCUUUUUUAUCUCUUUAUGAAGUUGAUUCUUAUUUAUAAAAUAGAGUGGAUGCCGAUCGACAUUAUUCAUUGAGUUUGUUUGUGGGCAGCUUCCUGCCGCAGUGGGUGCUGCUGUGUGACCUUUAUAUAUAUUGCGUUUGUAAGUUCUGUUUAUUGUUUCUUUGCAUGAGGCUUCGCUGUGUGUGCGUCGCGAGAUUACGCCGCUCAUUCUGCGACGAUGCAAACACAGUUUCCCAUCACGAAUCGCAAGAAUGAGCAGCGGGUAUUUUACUCGACGCCUCUGCCCAGAGAUGGAACUCGUAUACCUGCUGUCAUGCAUGGUGUUCACUGAGGGCGCUUCCGUGUUUGAGUGCUUUUAACAAAGCGAUUAUGCCGCGAGACCAUUCUAACAGUACAAUAUUUCUCAUUGUCUCUGUAUUAUUGAAGCCUAUUUAUUUUUAGUAUUCUACGUGCGAAAUCUGUUUCACUCAAUUAUGCUUCUAUAGCGUUAAACGAAUCCCAUUUUUAGCAUUGCUGAAGUGUCGACGAUCAUUCGCUCGCUUAGCUCCCUGGCUUCUGUUGGCCACCCUGUGUUUAGUGUUAUCCUGUUAGGGCGUCACAUCUGAGCAGCAGCAGAGUACUUGUACUCAACCUGAUCGAUUUCGACAGGUAGGAAUGGAAGGUUGCACUUCAAGUUCGCGGCUAGAAUUUGUGGUUAUAUAGACAAAGUGUGCCAGUCAGGGUGACACUCGGUGUGUCGCAGUGUCUUCGCGAAUAACACAUGAAUUACAGCCUUAGAAUUGAGCGAGCGAAUGAGCAGAAUAAUGUUAUUUACGCGUAAUGUUUUUUUCACUGCUCACGCCAUGUAUUACCCGUGCGAUAUUCAAUUCUCGGAGUGUCUGUCACGCAUAGCCUAGGUGCUUGCGAGUGUGUGACUGUAGCUUUCUUUCUACCUGAUAUUUUAGGUUGAUUUCUUUUAUAUUGCGUUGUUAUGCAGUUCCGUGAAAUGGUUAGCCGCCAUCUUAUGACGUUGAACGGCCCGUGCUUAAUUCAAAGAGGAUUUAUAUUUCUUGUUCAUUAUUUCGCACGCUAGGUGCCCCCGCUGCAACUCAUCCCAAUGUUUUUUUUUUAAUAAAGCGCUUGUUUUGUAUGAUGC